UAGCUAGUUGGUAAGGUGACGGCUUACCAAGGCAAUGAUGCAUAGCCGAGUUGAGAGACUGAUCGGCCACAUUGGGACUGAGACACGGCCCAAACUCCUACGGGAGGCAGCAGUAGGGAAUCUUCCACAAUGGACGAAAGUCUGAUGGAGCAACGCCGCGUGAGUGAAGAAGGGUUUCGGCUCGUAAAGCUCUGUUGGUAGUGAAGAAAGAUAGAGGUAGUAACUGGCCUUUAUUUGACGGUAAUUACUUAGAAAGUCACGGCUAACUACGUGCCAGCAGCCGCGGUAAUACGUAGGCGGCAAGCGUUGUCCGGAUUUAUUGGGCGUAAAGCGAGUGCAGGCGGUUCAAUAAGUCUGAUGUGAAAGCCUUCGGCUCAACCGGAGAAUUGCAUCAGAAACUGUUGAACUUGAGUGCAGAAGAGGAGAGUGGAACUCCAUGUGUAGCGGUGGAAUGCGUAGAUAUAUGGAAGAACACCAGUGGCGAAGGCGGCUCUCUGGUCUGCAACUGACGCUGAGGCUCGAAAGCAUGGGUAGCGAACAGGAUUAGAUACCCUGGUAGUCCAUGCCGUAAACGAUGAGUGCUAAGUGUUGGGAGGUUUCCGCCUCUCAGUGCUGCAGCUAACGCAU
rnacentral:rRNA from 1 species